AAAAAUCUAAAAAAUAUUUUUUAACUUCCUUAAUGUAUUAUUUAAUUUAUUUUAAUUUUUUAUUUUCGUUUUAUUUUUAUGUUAAUAUUUUAUUUUUAUUAUUUAGUUCAAAUAGUCCAUUUUAAUACACAUUUUUUCAUUUAUUUUAUUUCCAUAACUUAAAAUUAUUUUUAGAUUCUGAGUUUUGGGAUGAUGGUUGACCAAUGUCUCAUGGUCAACUUGACCUUUUAUUGAAUUUUU
rnacentral:lncRNA from 1 species